UUUUCAGGUGCGGUGGGGAGAGAAGUUUGUUCCUUGGGGAUUUCUAUCAAGGUUGAUCAUACACUAAAAGAUGGGAAAACAGAAGAGAUUAGGUAACUGCCCAAGGCUUCCCAGCUGGUAUGUGGUAGAGCUGAGAUUCAUUUACUUGGCCUUGAAGAGCUCCUGUAUCCAAAAGGAAGGCCACUGAAUGCUCUGGAGGACUGUGUCCUGUCACUGCUGAUGUGCUCCAGAAGGGAAAGGCUGACACUGUUAGAAGGCAGGGAGCCGCCUACAAAGCAUGGUAAUGUGGUUGGGGACAAGUCCCUAACUGCUGAGUUUGAUGUCAUGGAUGGCAACCAUGUGAUCCCACAAAACAUCUCCUUUACCAGUCUCAGGGGAAGCUCUGGGCUGGAAGGCUUUACCCACAGCCUGGCCUGUUGGCUCUGCUGUCAAAAUUCUAGGCAGUUUUAGGUGACAGGAAAUAAACAUAAUGCACAUUAAAAUACCUGAAUGAAAAAAUGAUAACCCGUUAUAGUAGAAAUCAGUAUAUCAUGAAAAUCUGGCAGAACUUAUGGGCUGCUUAUUUCAAAUACCAAUCCUACAAAAUACCAGUCUACCUGAAGAAUUUUGAAAGCUUCUGAAAUAUAAUUAGAAUUGACCCCCCACAAAUUCCCGAUGAAGGCACUAAGUUUUCAACCUUUUAUUUUUAAGGUGACCUUGCUUUAAUGCAAGUAAAUUCUAUUCCUGCCAUGAUCUGACUUGCGGGACUUGUGAUUGUGGCUGUUUUUCAGUGGCAAUGAUGGAAUUUCAGUGAGUACCUGGCAGGAUUUCAGAGCUAACCUGUGGCUAUGAAACAGCCAAGCCGAGUGACCAGCGGUUUUGGUGUUACUAGAAAGUUUUGCUGGCCGGACUGUAAACUCAUACUCAAGUCCUCCAAGCAUCCAGGGCUUGGGAGAACAGAAGUGGGAGUGCUGAUCCUCAGCAAUAAAGAUGGCAGCCUGACUUUCCUCUAUGAGGCCUGCUUGACUUCAGAUACAGAUAUUCAGGUUUGACACUCAUCUUAAAAAAUCCCUGGCACAGCAGAUAAAUUCAAAUGCCCAGUUUCAGAAACGGUAAUUAGGGAGUUCUAUGGCAGAUGGACCAGGAAUCCGAACUUUUUAAUAGGACAGUCUGUUUUAGGUGACCUGAGAUAAACUAUUCUAAGGAUUCUG